GGUCCCGUGGCCCACUGGAUAAGGCGCCUGACUACAGAUCAGGGGAUUGCAGGCUCGAGUCCUGCCGGGAUCG
rnacentral:tRNA from 1 species